GACGAACGCUGGCUGUGUGCCUAAUACAUGCAUGUCGAGCGAAGCACUUGUGCUUAGCGGCGAAUGGGUGAGUAACACGUACUUAAUCUACCCCGAAGUUUGGGACAACAGUUGGAAACGACUGCUAAUACCAAAUAUUCCUUUUUAUCGCAUGAUAGAUUGGUAAAAGGAGCGUUUGCUCCGCUACGGGAUGAGAGUGCGGUACAUUAGUUAGUUGGUAGGGUAAUGGCCUACCAAGACGAUGAUGUAUAGCGGGGUUGAGAAGCUGAACCGCCACACUGGGACUGAGAUACGGCCCAGACUCCUACGGGAGGCAGCAGUAGGGAAUAUUCCACAAUGAGCGAAAGCUUGAUGGAGCGACACAGCGUGCAGGAUGAAGGUCUUCGGAUUGUAAACUGCUGUUAUAAGGGAAGAAACACCAGACUAGGAAAUGAGUUUGGCUUGACGGUACCUUAUCAGAAAGCACCGGCAAACUAUGUGCCAGCA
rnacentral:rRNA from 1 species